AUCAAUCUCUGCCCGCAUUUCCUCGCCAUUUCCUCACCACACCAUUUCCACAACUAACAGAUCAGAUCUCUGCACGUAGCCACACCACCAUCCACCUUCUCCGCCUUCCACCGUCGCAGCCGCUGCCGCCGCCAUUGCAUCCUCCGCGACUGCGCCUCCCCCUAGCUGUCGUCCCAGCCACUGCCUCCGCCGCUGCGUCUUCCUCCGCAAAUCUGCCGCUGCAGCCACCACAGCCGCUGACAUCGCGACCGCCACAACCUUCAGUUUUUGACGCCACCGUUUCGAUCUGCACCACCGCGACCAACGCCACCUCCACCGCGACCAACGCCGCCUCCACCGUGAUGGCCCCGAAGAUAUAGAUCUGGAACCGACAUUACUUUGUGACAGCAGGGAAGUCUUGGUUUGUAGGUGGAUUUGAGGAGUUAACAACCGCUGAUAAUAAGCCAUAUAUAUGGAUUUAAAAGUUUUAAACAGACUUUGGAAAUGCCAAAACUGUUAGGAACAACAACUCAAGGAAAGAGAGAAAUAUAAGCUAGGAAAUCCCAAGUCAUUCCAUUAUCUUAAUCAACCCAACUGUUAUGAGCUUGAUGGAGUGAAUGAUGGCGAAGAAUAACUUGCAACAAGAAGGGCUAUGGAUAUAGUUGGAAUUAGCGAGGAAGGACAGGUUAGGAGGCAAUUUUCAGGGUUGUUGCUGCAAUUCUUCAUCUUGGUAAUAUUGAAUUUGCAAAAGGGCAAGAGAUUGACUCCUCUGUGAUUAAGGAUGAAAAAUCUAGGUUUCAUCUUAAUACCACAGCUGAUUUGCUCAAGUGUGAUGCCAAGAGCCUGGAAGGAUGCACUAAUUAAGCGUAUGAUGGUCACACCUGAGGAAGUUAUUACAAGGACUCUUGAUCCUCUACAACAACAUUUUAAUCAGCAUGUAUUUAAAAUGGAACAAGAAGAGUAUGAAAAAGAAGAGAUAAACUGGAGCUACAUAGAGUUUGUUGAU